rnacentral:rRNA from 1 species
GACUGGAGCACUGCCGCGUGAGUGAUGAAGGUCUUCAGGAUCGUAAAACUCUGUUAUUAGGGAAGAACAAAUGUGUAAGUAACUAUGCACGUCUUGACGGUACCUAAUCAGAAAGCCACGGCUAACUACGUGCCAGCAGCCGCGGUAAUACGUAGGUGGCAAGCGUUAUCCGGAAUUAUUGGGCGUAAAGCGCGCGUAGGCGGUUUUUUAAGUCUGAUGUGAAAGCCCACGGCUCAACCGUGGAGGGUCAUUGGAAACUGGAAAACUUGAGUGCAGAAGAGGAAAGUGGAAUUCCAUGUGUAGCGGUGAAAUGCGCAGAGAUAUGGAGGAACACCAGUGGCGAAGGCGACUUUCUGGUCUGUAACUGACGCUGAUGUGCGAAAGCGUGGGGAUCAAACAGGAUUAGAUACCCUGGUAGUCCACGCCGUAAACGAUGAGUGCUAAGUGUUAGGGGGUUUCCGCCCCUUAGUGCUGCAGCUAACGCAUUAAGCACUCCGCCUGGGGAGUACGACCGCAAGGUUGAAACUCAAAGGAAUUGACGGGGACCCGCACAAGCGGUGGAGCAUGUGGUUUAAUUCCAAGCAACGCGAAGAACCUUACCAAAUCUUGACAUCCUCUGACCCCUCUAGAGAUAGAGUUUUCCCCUUCGGGGGACACAGUGACUGGUGGUGCAUGGUUGUCGUCAACUCGUGUCGUGAG